AUGUGGCGAUUGGAAUUGAUGCGUGGGUGAGCUUGAACGAGAAAGACAUGCUUGAAUUUGAACGCGAUUGGGACAUAUUAGCCUUCACUUCUCAGUAAACGCACCUUCACUUGCAGUUUCGAGGACCUAUUCUCCUUAUUCUUCUUCUACUAUCCCUUUUCUUUCCCUAACGAGUAAAGAACGAGUGGAUUUUUCAAACGAGCAAGAACGUGAAAUGCCCACAAG
rnacentral:lncRNA from 1 species